GCUCGUUUUUCUACAUUUUUCCUGAGUCCCCAAGAGAAGAGAAAAAUCAGCCUAAGACACAUAGGAACCUAGCACACCGUCUUGAGUUGGGGAUCCUAAACUAGACCAACAAAACGCCUCCACCAACCGCACAGACCAAAAAGUAAGUUAAAUGUCAAGAAUGGCCUGCUCACCUCAGCAUCUGGCUCAAUGAGUCAAAGAGGCAAUUCAGAACAGCCAUGAGCAUCAGCUGUUGGGAGACAGGAGAAGCAGAAGGAUAAGGUUCAAGGCCCUGAAAGCUGCUACCUGAAAACAAAACCUGCCAAUUCAUUAAGCAUCAAAAGACAUGGGCUUUCACAAAGGACCAAAAGCAUAAGGUGGAAGUCAGAGCAAAAACAGGAAGAGGAACUGUGGUUUCUCGCAGAAAUAAAUUCUGCUACACGAUCCCACAAUUUGAGACCUCUCUCUGACCAGACUGUUCAAACUUUCCUAUUGCAGUCCUCUACAGGUCUUUACCAACUGCGUAUAUGUUACCAGAGAUCUUAGGUAAAGAAAUCGUUAACCAAACAGUAACUAAGGUCAGAGAGUUAGUGGAAAGAGCAUGGACUUUGGAGUCAGACAGAGUUGGGCUUAAAUCCCAGCUGAGCCAUUUCUAUAUGUGUGACCCUGGGAAAGUUAUUAGGUUGAACCAUAUGAAACUGCCAUUUCUAUAGUUCAACGGUGGUCAUAUGCAAGCAAUUUCAUAUUGUUCCUCAUGUUUUGGUUUCCUCAUCUAUAAAACAAGAACACUAAUACCCAUAACUCACAUAAGUGCUGUAAGGAUUAGGUAACAAUGUACCUUACAAAGCACUUAAAGUAGUAAAAGCUCAGAAAGAA